GAUGAACGCUAGCGGCAGGCUUAACACAUGCAAGUCGAGGGGUAGAGGCUUUCGGGCCUUGAGACCGGCGCACGGGUGCGUAACGCGUAUGCAAUCUGCCUUUCACAGAGGGAUAGCCCAGAGAAAUUUGGAUUAAUACCUCAUAGCAUAACACAACCGCAUGGUUGAGUUAUUAAAGUCACAACGGUGAAAGAUGGGCAUGCGUCCCAUUAGUUAGUUGGUAAGGUAACGGCUUACCAAGACUUCGAUGGGUAGGGGUCCUGAGAGGGAGAUCCCCCACACUGGUACUGAGACACGGACCAGACUCCUACGGGAGGCAGCAGUGAGGAAUAUUGGUCAAUGGGCGCAAGCCUGAACCAGCCAUGCCGCGUGCAGGAUGACGGUCCUAUGGAUUGUAAACUGCUUUUGUACGAGAAGAAACACUCCUUCGUGAAGGAGCUUGACGGUAUCGUAAGAAUAAGGAUCGGCUAACUCCGUGCCAGCCGCCGCAGUAA
rnacentral:rRNA from 1 species